ensembl:lncRNA
GUCGCAUCUCGGUUGCCACGGCGACCGCUGCCACCCAAACCCAGGGAUGCGGUCGCCAUGGUGACCACUGGCCCCAGUGUGCACCCCCCCCCACACACACACCCCCAUUGUCACCAUUGUCACACUCACGUGGGCACCCCCGUGCACGUCUGUGCACACAGCCCCCCCCAAGUGCACACCUACACCCGCACCCCACGUGCACACCCCCGUGCACACGCACCCGAGGGAACCCAAGUGCGUGUGGCCCCGUGCACGCCCCCGUGCACACCUACACCCGUGCACGCGCACCCACCACCGCCGUGCACACACACAUCCAUGCACACGCCCACGUGCACACACAACCUGUGCACACAUAUCCCAUGCACACACGCCCACGUGCACAACCAUGCACACGUGCACAAAUGUGCCCGCACACCCAUGCGCACGCACAAGUGUGCACAAAUCCCAUGCACACGCACACAUCUAAGCACACAUGCACAAACGUGCACGUACACCCACGUGCACGCACAACCAUGCACACAUACCCCAUGUACACACACCCACGUGCACACACGUCCCUGCACACGUGCACAAACGUGCCCGCACGCCCAUGUGCACACACAACUGUGCACAUAUAUCCCAUGCACACACAUAUCCAAGCACGCAUGCACAAACGUGCACACACUCCCACAUGCAUGCACAACCAUGCACACACAUCCUUGCACACAUGCACACUCACACAGGUGCUCACAUCGCCGUGCACACCCAUGUGCACACCCACCUCCGUGCACACCCACCCCCUUGCACGUCUGCCCCCAUCCACACCCAAACUGGUGCACACCCCCGUGUGCACACCCACGUGCACACGCACACAUCUGUGCAUGCGAAGCCAUGUGCGGUAGCACACCGUCACCUGUGCACGCACAUUUGUGUUCACACUCAAGUGCACACCCACAGCCUUGCACAUCCACCCGUGUGCACACAUCCCAUGCACACACCCAGGUGCGUGCACCCCAAUGCACACCCAUGUGCCCACACAGAUCUCUCUGCAUGCACACGCCCAUCUCUGUGCACACCCAUGUGCACUCACACAUAUCCGUGCACACCCACCCCAAUGCACACCCACGUGCACAACCACCUCCGUGCACGCACAACCGUGCAGAAGUGCGCUCACACUUGAGUGUGCACACCUGUGUGCACACCCACAUCCCUCCACAGACCUGCACACCCCCCCAUGUGCAAACACACUCCCCAAUGCACAGAUACCCGUGCACACACACACUUCCCAGUGUACACCCACACCUGUGCACACUCGCCCACGUGCACAUGCACACCCACAUGCACACCAGCACCUGUGCACACACCCACGUGGUGCACAUGCACACUCGUGCACACCCAAGUGCACUCACACACCUGUGCACACUCACCCAUAUGCACACCUACACCUGUGCACAGACCCACGUGGUGCACAUGCACACUCAUGUGCACACCCACGUGGACUCACACACGUGUGCACUCUCACUUACCCAUGUGCAGAUGCACGCCCACGUGCACACCCACACCUGUGCACACUCACCCACAUGCACACCCACACCUGUGCACAGACUCGCAUGGUGCACAUGCACACCCAUGUGCACACCCACGUGCACUCACACACGUGUGCACUCUCACUUUCCUAUGUGGAGAUGCACGCCCACGUGCACACCCACACCCGUGCACGCACACCCACACCUGUGCACACUCACCCACAUGCACACCCACACCUGUGCACACACCCGCAUGGUGCACAUGCACACCCAUGCGCACACCCACGUGCACUCACACACCUGUGCACACCCACCCACGAGCACAUGCAUGCCCACGUGCACCCACCCACCCUUGCACACUCACCCACGUGCACCUGCACACCACUACCGCCACCCCUACGUGCACCCCCCCAUGCACACUCAUCCCCCUUGCACACCCCUUUGCACACUCACCACCCUCCC